AUAUCCCAAUAGCACCCAUGAAUGCAAUGUAGAACAGAAAAAUUCGAUAAGUAGUUCCUCUGAGUAUUGUUUGAGAAAUCGCUUGAAUACCCUGGGAGGAAUUCUUGGAAAGAUCUCUGAAUGUAUAAUUGAAGAAAUCUCUUACGAAAUUUCGGAAAAACUUAUGGAUCCGUCCAGAAAUUUUAUCAUGAUUAACCUAAGAUUUAAUCAUAUUAUCAUAGACUAUCCCCUUUCAUUUAGUAGUUGAGGCUUACAAGAUUGUUUGUUCUAGCACUUUCCACUUGCAUUUUUUCCCGUUCAAAGCGUCCAAAGAAUUUGUGGUUGGGAAGGCGUCAAGUGUUCCUUAGUGUUGAUCCACAACAAUUUAGAUAUUUCAACGUGAAAGGGUAUUAAAUAACAAACCAUCGUCUGCAUUUCAAAUAAACAACCCGCUUAAUUAGUAUGUCACAGCUUUCACCCAUUGGCAAGGGCAAUUUAUUUGCCCAUGUUUUCAAACACAGCAAAGGGUAAAUUUGCAGUAUCCCGCCAAAGAAGGUUACAAUCCGAGCUUCGAGAAUUUUUACUUAAAUGCACUUUGGUGUUUGCUUUGAAUAUAAUAUUAAAAUCGUUGACAUAGGCGACAGAGUGGUAUUGAAAUAUGGAUGGUAGCCAACGAAGGUGAUUAAGUUUUUUGAGUCAUAGACAUGUUCGAAGCAAAAGAGGUGACAACGAACAGAUGACGACCAAUCAUGCGGAACCGAACAUAUGGAAUCAGCCAUUCAAGUAAAUUCUUUGCGCCCAGACAACUGUGUAAAUUACGGAUUUUAAAUUACGGACUUUAUGUGCCUCAUUCGAGAUACAAAUUUAGUGUGUGUUGCUAAUGAAAAUAUUUUUGGACGGAAACCAAAAUCUAGCGAACGUGAUGAUGAGCAACGUUGAAAGGUUUAAAACCGGA